rnacentral:lncRNA from 1 species
AGACAAAGCCAUAUAUGAUUGAAGGUUAUCAGUACUGUGCUUUUGGAGGAUUCAGAAGAAGUUAUAUCUGAUUGGGAGAUUGAAAAGGAUUGGCCUGAAGGAGAGGUGGUUUUUGAACUGCAUCUUAAAGGAUGAGGAAACUGAGGCUGAGAGGGUAGAGAACUUUGCCUGAGGUCACUCAGCAGGGACCCACCCAUCACAGUAAAUGCCAGCACUGCUGAUGCCAAAACAAUGUUAUUUGUAGGCCCUCGGAAUUUGUGACCUGAAGGAAGAAGAGCAGGGCCGUGGGAAGUAUGUAACCAGUGUCAUGCCCCUGGUCCCAAGGAAGCAGUGGCUUGGUAAAGAGGGGACCCCCGUCAAUAACUCCCUGUAAUUACUGGGCACCCACUCUGAGCUCCUCAGUGGAAUCCUAAGGUUAAUAAGACUGUCUCUAGCCACUGGGGCUCCCAGCCUGGAGUGAGGAUUGCAGAGUUCAGCUGGCCAUCAUCCACCAGCCGGGGGACUGUGCACAUCAGUUAACCUCUCCUCUCAGGCCUUGAAAAGCACCAGGCUUAGUACACGUUUGUUAAAUGAAUGCACUGCAGUUUUUUUGCUUGUUAAAGGCAGGUAAUAAUAAUGAUAUUGCUGACUAAGGGCUCCCAUCCACUCCCAGUGAGCCCGGUGCCCCCCCGGGCCUCCUCAGUGAGCUGAGGAGGCUCAGCAGUGCCUGCACGUCCCCUCGCCACAAUGUCAUGUGCCACCUCUUCAAAGGAGGGAUGUACCAGCUAGUGGACGUGACCUUGACUGCAAAGGGCGGCACGCAGCUGAUGUAAUGGUCGCUUAAGUGUUCACAAAUGCCUGAACACCCUGUCCUACCUGGUCCUACCUGGAUGCUGGCCUCAGUAAGCUCCUGGGCUCAUUGAAGAUGAACCUAGCAGUAGUAUUUACACCACUUGUUGUGUGCCCACUGUGGGCCCGGCGCCAUGCCGAGUGCUCUAUGGAUGUGAGUUUUCCAUCCUUCCUUCAGUGCUGGGAGAGAAAAGCAUACGACAUAGACAGGGAGGUCAAGCUCCACCACGCAGAUGAGGUGCAGGCCACCAGUCUUCCUCUGCCACAUCUCUUUCUGAAAAGGACUUCACAUUCACCCUUGCAAUCCAUGUGGGGACACUGUUGGAUAGGAGGCGUGGUCCCAGCGUGGUCUCCCUGUCUGGGCCUCUGCCUAUGCCAAAUGUUUGCCUUACGCUGCACACUCAAGAGGUUCCAUGUAUACAGAUGGGAAUUCCAGAGCUACAGAAAAGGCAGCAAGCACCAUGAUUUAAGCUAACCAGUGUGGAUUCACACCUUCCUCUCUCUCUAUCAGUGGCAGAACUACCAGCUAGAGUAAGAAGUGGUUGAUCCAGGACCUAAACAUUCUGGAAACUCUUGCCCACUUCUGGGAGAAAUGACCCAAUCCAUAGUACUAAGCACACCUUAACUUUCGUAGGACGCAGGCAAGUUGUCAUACCGUGUGCCUAAAUAUAGAAAAAUGAUCCACUGGACUAAUAAAGUGUUAAAUAAAAUA